GCUCAGUUGGUAAAGCACAAAGCUUUCAACCUUGUGGACGUGGGUUCAAGCCCCAU
rnacentral:tRNA from 1 species